CGCACCUUGCGCUCCUCGGCAUUCCGAGGAGCAUGCCUGUUUGAGUGUCGUGAAGUCUCAUCGAAAAUAAAAGGGGGCUUCCUUCGGGGGGAGCCCCCUUUUCUUUCGGAAUUGGACGUUCUUGCCCCCCUCUGUGUGGGGCUCGUCUUCAAAUCCAUCAGCGGAGGUCCCCCUCCAUAUGACCCUCCCAAGACGUGUGAUAAGUCUCGCGUCGUCCGGGUGAAGGGAGGGGAUCCCGCGUCAUUGUCAUUUUUAACGCUCUGACCUCAAAUCAGGCAGGAUUACCCGCUGAACUUAA
rnacentral:misc_RNA from 1 species